AUUGAACGCUGGCGGCAGGCCUAACACAUGCAAGUCGAGCGGAUGAGAGGAGCUUGCUUCUCGAUUCAGCGGCGGACGGGUGAGUAAUGCCUAGGAAUCUGCCUGGUAGUGGGGGACAACGUUUCGAAAGGAACGCUAAUACCGCAUACGUCCUACGGGAGAAAGCAGGGGACCUUCGGGCCUUGCGCUAUCAGAUGAGCCUAGGUCGGAUUAGCUAGUUGGUGAGGUAAUGGCUCACCAAGGCGACGAUCCGUAACUGGACUGAGAGGAUGAUCAGUCACACUGGAGCUGAGACACGGUCCAGACUCCUACGGGAGGCAGCAGUGGGGAAUAUUGGACAAUGGGCGAAAGCCUGAUCCAGCCAUGCCGCGUGUGUGAAGAAGGUCUUCGGAUUGUAAAGCACUUUAAGUUGGGAGGAAGGGUUGUAGAUUAAUACUCUGCAAUUUUGACGUUACCGACAGAAUAAGCACCGGCUAACUCUGUGCCAGCAGCCGCGGUAAAAC
rnacentral:rRNA from 1 species